GCCGGAGGAGAGUCAUGGUGCGGCAUGUAAGCAGAGAGGAAGAUUCCGACAGAGACUUUGGCCGGAAACCUUUCCAUAGCAAGAGAGGUUCCAAUGCCACCAUAGCUAUGACCAACAAGAACUACUUUCUCGUUUUCAGGAAGAGACUCCAUGAAACUCAUCAAAGGCUCUAGAUACUCCGACACCAAACGAACCUCAUGGAGCCGCCUCGUGUCGACACCGGACCCACCAAGGUCGAUAGCUGUCACACGGUGACCAUCGAGCUUGAGCUUUGCAGCUAGUUUGAACCAGCACCAUGCUCCAUGACAUGAGCCGUGGACAAAGACGAAGUGAUGGAGUUGUUGUUGUUGCUGCAUGUGGUGUGUUUGCAUUUGGUAGUGUUUGGUAAGUCAUGUUAUCUUUGUCCAUUCGUGUGUUAUAUAUACACAUGAGGGCACAUAGUUUUCUGGUUCUGCUUAAUCG
rnacentral:lncRNA from 1 species